UGCGUAGGCGGAUUAAUAAGUCAGUGGAGAAAACCUGCAGCUUAACUGUAGGCUUGCCAUUGAUACUGUUAGUCUUGAGUACGGUCAAGGUAGGCGGAAUGUGUAAUGUAGCGGUGAAAUGCUUAGAUAUUACACAGAACACCGAUUGCGAAGGCAGCUUACUGGACCAUUACUGACGCUGAGGCACGAAAGCGUGGGGAGCGAACAGGAUUAGAUACCCUGGUAGUCC
rnacentral:rRNA from 1 species